GCGAGCGCGGGCCAGCGGGCCCCGGAACGCGCGCCUCUGGGGCUGAGGAGGCAACUGGCCGAGCUGGUGGAGAGCAGGAAAAACGUGGGGGAGGUGCUGGCGAGAGAAAGAGAACUUGCGUGAGGAGGAGAAACCAAAUUUAAUAUUUGGCGUGGAAAUGGGAUUUUUUUUUUUUUUUGCAUCCUCCAAGCAAGUAAAGUGAAAUCAGUCAACAUUACCCCCUCUCCCCUCGACAAGUGAGGAUUACUUUCUCCUUGGUGAAAAGAACAGAAUUGAAUCAGGGACAGAGAUGAGAAGCUCCAACUGAGAAAACUGGUCUCUCCGCCUAGCAGCUUCCGCUGCCGCUGCUGCCUGGCUGGACAGUUAGCUACUGCCGUGUCCCUGGCACAGGUUAGUGCAUCUAGCCUUGAGCUGCUGCCAGUGUGGUUGAUACUGCUCACAGCUGCACCCAACCCUGGAGAACUGCCUUGGGCCACUAGUUGCAGCCUUAUCCAGUAACUCGUGGGAAGGAAUCCCUCCCCUGCGGUGGCCCCAAACCAGUGACUGACUGCUUUGGAGAUACAAAGCCUCUUCUCAAGUUGCUUUCCCAGGUUAAAAGAAGCAAGUUAAGCUGAACUAUAUUCCUCAUUGGAAGAUUAGAAUAUUGAACACAGAUGUUAAAUCAUGGGUCUGGGAAGAAUUCUGUAGCAGAUUAGAAGCUGCUGAAGUAGGGAUUUUUAGAUCCCUAUUGGGUUACAAAUUUAGAUCCCUAUCGGGAAACAACAACGAAAAA